rnacentral:piRNA from 1 species
UCUUGAUAUAAGUGGUGGAGCUGUUGAU